rnacentral:rRNA from 1 species
UACGGAGGGGGCUAGCGUUGUUCGGAAUUACUGGGCGUAAAGCGCGCGUAGGCGGUCUUUUAAGUCAGAGGUGAAAGCCCGGGGCUCAACUCCGGAAUUGCCUUUGAAACUGGCAGACUUGAACACGGGAGAGGUGAGUGGAAUUCCGAGUGUAGAGGUGAAAUUCGUAGAUAUUGGGAGGAACACCGUUGGCGAAGGCGGCUAACUGGACCGUUGUUGACGCUGAGAAGCGAAAGCGUGGGGAGCAAACAGG